AUAGAUCAGUGGUCACCAACCUUUUCUGUGCCACAGACGGGUUUAAUGUCAGACAAUAUUUUCACGGACCGGUCUUAAAGGUGUUGUGGAUAAAUACAACAAAAUAAAAUGAUAUGACCGGCAUAAAAAUUGGUAUUUUCUGAAUAUAAUAAUAAACGUGAAUCCACUGUGUAUGCAGCUUUAUUAGCAGCGUCCUCAUAACACCACACCAACAUCAUAACAUGAGGAAUGGCCUCUAAGGCCCACACUCUCUGGUCAUAAUGGUAAAGGUUAAACAUGCCUUCAACAUAAGAUGCACCACAAAAACAAGAAUAAAGUGAAUGACAAAAUCAACUCACCAUAACGCUAAAUCAGUGGGAGCCCUGAGCUUGUUUCUCUGCAACGAGACAGUCCCAUCUAGGGGUAAUGGGAGACAAUGAGACCCGAAGUGUGUCGCUUAUGUCCAGUUUAUUCCGUAAUUUGGUUUUGGUUGCUGUCACUGCAGAAAACCCUGCUUCACACAGAUAGGUUGUUGAAAAUGGAAUCAGGGUUUUCAGUGCUGUUGUGGCGAUCUCAGGGUAUUCUGACAUGACUUUAAUCCAGGACACUGGCAGAGUUGUUUGUUUUUCACUCAUUUU